GUCAGGGUUUGGGACGCUGACAAUGUUAGUAGACACGUUCUUCCAUUUUGCCAUUUUAAUUUUUUCUGCCAAUUCUUGCCUUUUCUCUGUUGAUGGGAAAUUUUGAAAUGAAGGUGCGAUCCUGUCCCUUGGUGAGUUUGAAACAUGGUGCACUACACAUUGAUACAUUUCAAUGCAAAAGCAAAGGACAUAGAUUCAAGUUUUGUUGUUCAAAACUAAUUUCUCGUUUAAGAACGAGUAUUGGGAUUUCUGUAAUGCAAAUUAAUUCUUUAAGAAAAUAAUUUGGCAGCCACUUGCCAUUAACACUAGUUUGCAUGUAACGUGUGUUUGAUUGUUUGCAUGUAAUUGUAAAUAUGCCAAAACGUUAUCAUAGGCCAUUCUUAAUGUGGGCAUAAGAGGCUAGAUGUUUCAUCAGUUGAAGCUAGAAUUUUGAAUGUAACAGACUGCAUAUUUUUCUCUGUUGAAGCUAGAAUAAAACCUAAAUCCCUUUGUAGUUAAGAAGUUUUUGGUGAUUGAAUUGAGCAGAAAUUUCUUGAGACAUUGGGGUGAUGAAGAAAAUGCAUGAUUUAAUAGUAAGCAAGAAAACAAUUGUGGAGAAUUGAGUAUUGAUUAUUUGAAUUGCAAUAGGGCCAUUGGUUUACAUGGACUCAGGGAGUAUUAGCAUUUAGUUAUUUGCUUAUGCACCGGUUAUGGUUAUGUAGUGAUAUCAUGCUCUCUGUUGCUCAUUAGAAUUUUCUUAUUGACAAAAUUUGCUGGAUUGCAUAGAUCAAACUAUGCGAUGUUAGUAUUUAUAGUGUGCUUACCUUGUUCUGUGGAAUGGUUAUGCAGCCUAGUUACUCAUUACGCACUUUU
rnacentral:misc_RNA from 1 species